rnacentral:rRNA from 1 species
GCGGUGGAGCAUGUGGUUUAAUUUGAAGCAACGCGAAGAACCUUACCAGGUCUUGACAUCCUCUGAAAACCCUAGAGAUAGGGCUUCUCCUUCGGGAGCAGAGUGACAGGUGGUGCAUGGUUGUUGUCAGCUCGUGUCGUGAGAUGUUGGGUUAAGUCCCGCAACGAGCGCAACCCUUGAUCUUAGUUGCCAUCAUUAAGUUGGGCACUCUAAGGUGACUGCCGGUGACAAACCGGAGGAAGGUGGGGAUGACGUCAAAUCAUCAUGCCCCUUAUGACCUGGGCUACACACGUGCUACAAUGGACGGUACAAAGAGCUGCAAGACCGCGAGGUGGAGCUAAUCUCAUAAAACCGUUCUCAGUUCGGAUUGU